CAGUCGCCGCGGUAAUACAGAGGGUGCGAGCGUUAAUCGGAUUUACUGGGCGUAAAGCGUGCGUAGGCGGCUUUUUAAGUCGGAUGUGAAAUCCCUGAGCUUAACUUAGGAAUUGCAUUCGAUACUGGGAAGCUAGAGUAUGGGAGAGGAUGGUAGAAUUCCAGGUGUAGCGGUGAAAUGCGUAGAGAUCUGGAGGAAUACCGAUGGCGAAGGCAGCCAUCUGGCCUAAUACUGACGCUGAGGUACGAAAGCAUGGGGAGCAAACAGGAUUAGAUACCCGUGUAGUCCCUGUCUCUUAUAA
rnacentral:rRNA from 1 species